UGGGGGAGGGGCCGUGACCCUGCUGGAGUGCGGGGGGGACCUCCAGCCCCCCAGGGGGUCCCUGCGCCUCCUCUGCCCAGGGGCCGGGUUCGAUUUUGGGGGUUAUGGAAUGUUCUGGAUCCGCCAGAGACCCGGGCAGGGGCUGGAUUGGCUCGCAGGGAUCUACAGCGGUGGUUUCAGCACCUACUACGCGCCGUCGCUCAAGGGCCGGGUCAUGAUCUCCAGGGACAACGGGCAGAGCUCGGUGACGCUGACCAUGACCGACCUCCGGGACGAGGAUUCCGGAUCCUAUUUCUGUGCCAGGGCUGCUGAUGCUGGUGCUUACCGUGCUGCUGCUGUUGACCAGCUACUGGGGACACCCCUGCCCCUGCUCCCCAGACCCUCCCCCAGACCCCACCCCUGACCCCGUUCCUGUCCC